rnacentral:rRNA from 1 species
AACGACUCUCGACAACGGAUAUCUCGGCUCUCGCAUCGAUGAAGAACGUAGCUAAAUGCGAUACUUGGUGUGAAUUGCAGAAUCCCGUGAACCAUCGAGUCUUUGAACGCAAGUUGCGCCCGAAGCCGUUCGGCCGAGGGCACGUC